GGAGAAGUGGCUCAGCGGCUACAGCGCAUCAUUGGAAAUGAUGUGUGCGAAAGCACUCGCGGGUUCGAGUCCCGCCUUCUCCG
rfam:Microgenomates bacterium GW2011_GWC2_46_7 TX64_C0046, whole genome shotgun sequence.